GACGAACGCUGGCGGCGUGCCUAAUACAUGCAAGUAGAACGCACAGUUUAUACCGUAGCUUGCUACACCAUAAACUGUGAGUUGCGAACGGGUGAGUAACGCGUAGGUAACCUGCCUGGUAGCGGGGGAUAACUAUUGGAAACGAUAGCUAAUACCGCAUAAUAUUAAUUAUUGCAUGAUAAUUGAUUGAAAGAUGCAAUUGCAUCACUACCAGAUGGACCUGCGUUGUAUUAGCUAGUAGGUGAGGUAACGGCUCACCUAGGCGACGAUACAUAGCCGACCUGAGGGGGUGAUCGGCCACACUGGGACUGGGACACGGCCCCGACUCCUACGGGAGGCAGCAGUAGGGAAUCUUCGGCAAUGGACGAAAGUCUGACCGAGCAACGCCGCGUGAGUGAAGAAGGUUUUCGGAUCGUAAAGCUCUGUUGUAGGAGAAGAACGGGUGUGAGAGUGGAAAGUUCACACUGUGACGGUAUCUUACCAGAAAGGGACGGCUAACUACGUG
rnacentral:rRNA from 1 species